rnacentral:rRNA from 1 species
CCUACGGGCGGCAGCAGUGAGGAAUAUUGGUCAAUGGGCGCGAGCCUGAACCAGCCAAGUCGCGUGAAGGAUGAAUGCCCUACGGGUUGUAAACUUCUUUUAUAAAGGAAUAAAGUGAGGCACGUGUGCCUCUUUGUAUGUACUUUAUGUAUAAGGAUCGGCUAACCCCGUGCCAGCAGCCGCGGUAAGAAGGAGGAUCCGAGCGUUAUCCGGAUUUAUUGGGUUUAAAGGGAGCGUAUCUGGGUUGUUAAGUCAGUGGUGAAAGUUCGCGGCUCAACCGUAGAAUUGCAAUUGAUACUGGCAGGCUGGAGUGCAGUUGAGGUAGGCGGAAUUCGUGGUGUAGCGGUGAAAUGCUUAGAUAUCGCGAAGAACUCCGAUUGCGAAGGCAGCUUACUGAACUGCAACUGACGUUGAUGCUCGAAAGUGUGGGUAUCAAACAGGAUUAGAUACCCGGGUAGUC